CUUCAUUUCAGACACUUCUCUCAUCUGCAACACAAACAUUAAAUCACUGAAUAAUUACUACGUUGGAAAAAGAAGAUGCAGAUGAAGAAUGUCCUUUUUCCUUAAUUCCAUUCUUCCUUAGGCUUUAUCCAUCGUCCGCCAUAAAAAUACAAGCACCUCUAUCUUGAAAACAUUGUUACGAUACGAUUUUAUUAUAGUGUUUAGUAUUGUUUGAUUAAGUUUUGAGCGGACUUUUUCAACAGUUAUGGAUAUAAAUAAUCCUCAAAGUCAAAGUUACUGGUUUGUGGUACGAGAAGACCAAAGUAAUGUUUAUAAUUUCACGAUACAAAAUCCGCCUCUCGCUAAUCAAGAGGCAAGAUAUAUUGUUGAUGCUGUAGACCAUCGACAGUAUUUUCAAAUAAAUGAAGCCCCAGUCGUCAUACCUGAGGACACUAUACAAAACUGUGACAAGGAAGUUCCUAAACAAGAAGAAGAAAACUUCUGGGAUCGGAACAAAAUUAAGAUGUUACUCACACUUUGCCUUGAAAAUAGGUUUAAGAAUGCUACCAAAGACAGAAGCUUGUGGAAUGAAAUUGCCUGUUUAGUUGGAGCCACAUCAGAUGAAUGUAGCAAAAAGUAUAAAAACCUUCGAAGAACCUACAUAAGACUAUUGAAAAAGAAAAGAAUGGGUAAGGAUAUCAAAUGGGUUCAUUUUAAUAUCUGUGAAGAAGUAUUCAAAGAAUGCAAAUCAUUGCCAUCUUCUAUCUUAGAGCCGUGGGAAGAUGGUAAAGUUAGGAGGCUAUUAAGUCUCUACAUAGAGAAUCUAAACAGAUUCCGGAGCUCAGAUUGUCUUCAAAAAGAAAUUUGGAAGGAUAUAGCCACAGCAUUGAACACAACAGAGUACAAUUGCUACCAUAAGUUUAAGAAUCUAAAGAGAAAUUAUUUCAACUGCCUGGGACGAAGUCAAGAGAGUGGGAAACUAAUGAAAUGGCAAUACAGUCAGUAUUUUGAAAGAAUUUUCUAUAACUACAACCCUACUGUGGGACCCUGGGACAGAGCCAAGACAAGCCAGCUGAUCCAGGCUUACAGCCAAGCGGCACACAAAUUCAGAAACCCUAGAUACCAAAAGAAAGAACUUUGGAAAGAAAUCUCAACAGUUGUAGGUGUGAGUCCUUUUCAAUGUGAUAAAAAGUUUAGAAAUUUAAAACAGACUUUUAUCAGAUUAAAAAUGAAAGCCAAUUCAGGAAAGUCCACAAAAUGGAGAUAUUAUAAGGAUUUUGAAACAAUCUUUAACAAGUCAUCAUACCCAUCUAACAAUGAUAAUGUAGUAGAAAAAGUAGUUUACAAGUAUCAAGAUGAUGAUUAUGUUGACCAGCUGCUAAAAUACUAUUUAGAGAAUAAGGAUAAGUUCAAUGAUCCACUUGUGAAGAAGAGAAAUGUAUGGAAGAUUAUUGCCUCUAGGUUGGGACUCGCUAUAGAAGAAUGUGAUAGAAAGUUUCGUAACUUGAAGCAAACAUAUAUGAGGUUAAGAGAGAAAAAGUUGGCCACUGGAAAGUGCAAUAACUGGCCUUAUUAUCACUUGUUUGAAAUGAUUUAUGACGAACCUAAGUCUUUAGGAACAGGGUACAGUCACAGUGAAGAAAUGGAGCAAAAGUUUGCAUCAGAAAUUAAAAGGGAGUUGAGAAAUAUGCAAGAAAAAAGGGAUAGAGAGAAAUUUGAAACACUUGUAAAAGCAAUAGAAGAGUCCAACAGUAUUCAGAGAGAAAGAAAUAGAAUUCUUCAAGCUUUAUUAGACAGAAAAUAAGAUGUUCACCAUAAUGAGUCACUGCCUCCAGAAAUCACCUCAGGUAAAUUGGGAAACAUUACAAAAAAAACACUUAAUUAUUUGGUAUUAAGUAGUAGUUAAUAAUAUAGAAUACCAAUACUUGUUACGAUUUUUGCUAUAAAUUUUUCUAAAACGAUUCGAUACGAGUGACUGACGACCGAUUCUGUAUCGAUACUUGACGACCGGAUGCUAUAUCGAUACUUGAUGACGGAUACUGUAUCGAUACUUGACGACCGAUACUGCAUCGAUACUUGACGACGGAUACUGAAUCGAAACUUGACGACCGAUACUGUAUCGAGUAAAAGUAUCGAUACCUCGAUGGUAUCGUUUCAUUCCCCCCCUACUCCUCUCCUCCUUGGUGGAAAAACCGCGGGCCUUAUAAACAGGUACUUAACCGGGUGGAAACCGCGGCGAGUCUUACAAUAAAAACUUCUGAACCAAUUUUGAUUGAACUAACGACAACAACACAACUUGUAUAAAGGACAUCAUCCACGUUUCAUAUAUUUUUGGUCCAUAAUCAAAAGUGCCGGCCAAUAAAAAGAAGUGCUGUAUUCUGACAGAAUACGUCCGCCUUAGCAUUUGUUACUAUGACACCAAAGCUGUAGCACCACUGUGCGUCGUAGUAUUUGAGAUCAAAGUCAGUCGUUUCAUAUAUUUUUAGAACUCAAAAGGUCAAAUACUACGAUGCACAGUUGUGCUACAGCUUUGGUGCCAUAGUAAUAAAUGCUAAGGCGGACGUAUUCUAUCAGAAUACAGCACUUUUAUUUUUUGGCCGGCACUUUUGAUUUUUUGGACCAAAAUGGAUGAUGUCCUUACCUACUAUUUCUCAUGUGACUAAGGUUUUUAAUGAGAAAUAAAUGUUCUUUAAAACUAACGAGAUGGAUAAUAUAACCUUAUGUACAUACAUUAUACCCUGUCAAAUAAAUUUUGAAAUCUGUUUACAAGUGAAUGAGACAAAACCUAUGUGACAAUCAAAUUGAAAACCUUUUGAAGUGGGUUAAAUAAAAGGCGUAAAAUGUUUAGAAA